rnacentral:rRNA from 1 species
AACGAACGCUGGCGGCAUGCCUAACACAUGCAAGUCGAACGAAGGCUUCGGCCUUAGUGGCGCACGGGUGCGUAACGCGUGGGAAUCUGCCCUUGGGUACGGAAUAACUCACCGAAAGGUGUGCUAAUACCGUAUGAUGACGUAAGUCCAAAGAUUUAUCGCCUGAGGAUGAGCCCGCGUAGGAUUAGCUAGUUGGUGAGGUAAAGGCUCACCAAGGCGACGAUCCUUAGCUGGUCUGAGAGGAUGAUCAGCCACACUGGGACUGAGACACGGCCCAGACUCCUACGGGAGGCAGCAGUGGGGAAUAUUGGACAAUGGGCGAAAGCCUGAUCCAGCAAUGCCGCGUGAGUGAUGAAGGCCUUAGGGUUGUAAAGCUCUUUUACCCGGGAAGAUAAUGACUGUACCGGGAGAAUAAGCCCCGGCUAACUCCGUGCCAGCCGCCGCAGUAA